UACGGGGGGGGCAAGCGUUGUUCGGAAUCACUGGGCGUAAAGGGCGCGUAGGCGGCUUUAUAAGUCGGGGGUGAAAGCCUGUGGCUCAACCACAGAAUUGCCUUCGAUACUGUAGAGCUUGAGACCGGAAGAGGUAAGUGGAACUGCGAGUGUAGAGGUGAAAUUCGUAGAUAUUCGCAAGAACACCAGUGGCGAAGGCGGCUCACUGGCCCGGUACUGACGCUGAGACGCGAAAGCGUGGGGAGCGAACAGG
rnacentral:rRNA from 1 species